rnacentral:rRNA from 1 species
CCCUUAGAUGUUCUGGGCCGCACGCGCGCUACACUGACGAAUGCAACGAGCUUAUAACCUUGGCCGAAAGGUCUGGGUAAUCUCCAAAUUUCGUCGUGAUGGGGAUAGAUUAUUGCAAUUAUUAAUCUUCAACGCGGAAUGCCUAGUAAGCGCAAGUCAUCAGCUUGCGUUGAUUACGUCCCUGCCCUUUGUACACACCGCCCGUCGCUCCUACCGAUUGAAUGGUCCGGUGAAGCGUUCGGACCGUGGCCUUUGGACGGUUCGCCGUCUGUUGGCUGCGGGAAGUUCGUUAAACCUUAUCAUUUAGAGGAAGGAGAAGUCGUAACA